rnacentral:lncRNA from 1 species
UUGUUCUCUUUACUUUUUACAGAGUCUGUUGCGUUUUGAGCUUUCCUUUUUUUUGAUUUGUCGACCCUAGAAGGUCACAGCUGACGGACUAUUUAUAAAGUCCCAUAUGCAGCUUUGUAGCUCACGUUUUUACCUAUUAUCAAUAAAGAGAGCAUUUUCUUUAGCAAAACCCUAGAGCUACAAAGACUUGUGCGGCUGCCCCUUGUCCUUGUGUUCUUCCGACUUAUCAAAGCUAGAUCAUAAGCUUUGUGGCGUCCUUCGAUCCACCGGUUACUAUCAUCCCCGAGUUCGUUCAUUGGACUUAAACAAAGAGAGCCUUGAGGCCAGUUGUUUAAGUCACCAUCUUCCCCACACUUCAUUCAUCUCGUGUCCGAGUAGAGAGAGCCUUGA